rnacentral:rRNA from 1 species
UGACGAGAAGACCCCGUCAAACUUUAAUUAUCAUAUAUAAAAGUGAAAAUAUAAAAUAUAAAUUAAUUUUAGUUGGGGCAACUGGGAGGGAUAAAAAUCUUUUAUUAAAUCAUUUAUAGUAAUAUUUAUAUUUAUGAUCCAAAUUAGUUAAUUUUGAAUUUAGAAU